GACGAACGCUGGCGGCGUGCUUAACACAUGCAAGUCGAACGGUAAGGCCCCAGCUUGCUGGGGUACACGAGUGGCGAACGGGUGAGUAACACGUGGGUGACCUGCCCCGCACUUCGGGAUAAGCCUGGGAAACUGGGUCUAAUACCGGAUAGGACCGCACCGUGAGGGUGUGGUGGAAAGUUUUUCGGUGUGGGAUGGGCCCGCGGCCUAUCAGCUUGUUGGUGGGGUAAUGGCCUACCAAGGCGGCGACGGGUAGCCGGCCUGAGAGGGUGGACGGCCACAUUGGGACUGAGACACGGACCAGACUGCUACGGGAGGCAGCAGUGGGGAAUAUUGCACAAUGGGCGGAAGCCUGAUGCAGCGACGCCGCGUGGGGGAUGACGGCCUUCGGGUUGUAAACUCCUUUCACCAUCGACGAAGGUUUUCUGACGGUAGAUGGAGAAGAAGCACCGGCUAACUACGUG
rnacentral:rRNA from 1 species